rnacentral:lncRNA from 10 species
GUUUCAUGGAUGUAUCCUGUGGCUUCUCCAUGAGAUAAUGAAGUUCUUGAAAGUGGGAGUGUCAUUUACACUCCUACCUGCAGACAGGUAUACUGGCACUUAUUACAUACCAAAUCCUAUUCCAUGAGCUGUGCAUGUAGUAGCAAGCACUGAUGUAGGUUCUCAUGUCUCCAUUUUAGAGAUGACAAGACUAAGGCACAGAUAAGCACCUGAUACAGAGUAUAAAGCAUUGGCUGAAUGCGUGAAUCUUAGUUCCCGCUUUUCACCUUAGCAUCCUGACUACCGAUGCCCUGAACACACAUGGUGAAUUUGGCUGAAAUGAAGCAUUCUGUGCCUGCCCCACAAACCACCAAGGGACUGUGGGUUUAUUUGUCUCAAGAUGGUCAACACUGCUGUUUUCACAUUUUACUUGCUGUCAAAUAUAAAGAGAUAUCA